UCUUUCCCUCCCUCUUGCCUUCCUCUCUGUCUCUGCAGCCCUCCUGGAAAUAUCUCCAUCUCUGUCUCUGUACCUCUGAGCAUCUCAGCCUUCUUCUCCUAGUUUCCCCCCCCACCCCCGCCGCCGCCCCCUCUGGGACUCACAUUCCCUAAAUACUAAUGGUGGGGAUUUGCGGUGCCCUCAGGCCUGUUUUAAAUUCUGCUCCCCAGCUCUGCCAUCAUCUGCCUUUGCCUGAAGGUACCAGGAUGGCUUUUGGCAAAGGACUCCCAUCAAGAAUGCCCAAGUCAAGAGUCAGAGACCACCGACCACCAAAUUCAAGGAGGGAGAUAUGAGACAUUCGUACUUAGGAGAGGGUUCAGGAGGCUCUGGUAGUCUGCAUAUCGGGGGACCCACACCCA
rnacentral:lncRNA from 1 species